ACCCGAAACCCGGUGAUCUAGCCAUGGGCAGGUUGAAGGUUGGGUAACACUAACUGGAGGACCGAACCGACUAAUGUUGAAAAAUUAGCGGAUGACCUGUGGCUGGGGGUGAAAGGCCAAUCAAACCGGGAGAUAGCUGGUUCUCCCCGAAAGCUAUUUAGGUAGCGCCUCGUGAAUUCAUCUCCGGGGGUAGAGCACUGUUUCGGCUAGGGGGCCAUCCCGGCUUACCAACCCGAUGCAAACUGCGAAUACCGGAGAAUGUUAUCACGGGAGACACACGGCGGGUGCUAACGUCCGUCGUGAAGAGGGAAACAACCCAGACCGCCAGCUAAGGUCCCAAAGUCAUGGUUAAGUGGGAAACGAUGUGGGAAGGCCCAGACAGCCAGGAUGUUGGCUUAGAAGCAGCCAUCAUUUAAAGAAAGCGUAAUAGCUCACUGGUCGAGUCGGCCUGCGCGGAAGAUGUAACGGGGCUAAACCAUGCACCGAAGCUGCGGCAGCGACACU
rnacentral:rRNA from 1 species